ACAUAAAAAUACCAUGAGAUGAGUUGAAAUAUUAAGAUAGAUGUGUUUUGUCCUUGACUGUGUCUGUCUAUGGCCUCCUGUGCUCAUUUUACAAGACAUCAAAAUACGCAGAGAAUACUGUGUCUGUAAUGUCGCUUAUACUCGCACCACUGACGGCGUGUCAGGACAUCAAAUAUACUGUAUGAGGGUUUUGGGCAGAACAUCAGCAAUAUCAACCUGGUCUCAUGGGUAAGACGUACCUCUGCACACUUUUUGCAGCGCCACUAAAUACGUUCUAGCAGGUACAUAUUUCUACAGUUUUACGACACGAAAGUCCACUGGGGGCGCUAAAGAGAAGACCUCUGUGUGACACAUCGAUGACGGUCGACUCCACAUACAACACGAUUGAGCGUCAGAGGUGUCAAAAAAUAAAUUACUGAGAAGGAUUGUCAGCCUACAGCAGUGUAAAAUAUGGAGGAGAGAUUAGAGCCUGAUCUCGAUGAAAUAAUGGCUGAUUUGGAGGAGUUACAGUAAUACAGAGUGAGGAGGCAGUAAAAGAAACACCAAAAAAACGAAAAAGAAAGAAGAUAAAACUCAGGUGGAAACAAAGAGACCAAAAAGGAUUCUUGGUCUAUGAGAAGCAUAAACGAAAGACAGACCGAUCUGAAAGACCAGUUGCCUCAACCAGUGCCUCUUCAAAUAACCCUCAAGAAGUUGAGCUUGGUAAGCAAUUUUUGUUUUUGUUGAUUCGAUGUACAAUCAUGUGUUCAAC